GACGAACGCUGGCGGCGUGCCUAAUACAUGCAAGUAGAACGCUGAAGGAGGAGCUUUCUUCUCUGGAUGAGUUGCGAACGGGUGAGUAACGCGUAGGUAACCUGCCUGGUAGCGGGGGAUAACUAUUGGAAACGAUAGCUAAUACCGCAUAAUAUUGACUAUUGCAUGAUAGUCAGUUGAAAGGUGCAACUGCACCACUACCAGAUGGACCUGCGUUGUAUUAGCUAGUUGGUGGGGUAACGGCUCACCAAGGCGACGAUACAUAGCCGGCCUGCGAGGGUGGUCGGCCACACUGGGACUGGGACACGGCCCAGACUCCUACGGGAGGCAGCAGGAGGGAAUCUUCGGGAAUGGGCGGAAGUCUGACCGAGCAACGCCGCGGGAGUGAAGAAGGGUUUCGGAUCCUAAAGCUCUGUUGUAAGAGAAGAAAGAGUGUGAGAGUGGAAAGCUCACGCUGUGACGGUAUCUUACCAGAAAGGGACGGCUAACUACGUG
rnacentral:rRNA from 1 species